rnacentral:lncRNA from 1 species
GAUCUGCCAGGCCUGGUGGCUCCAGGCCCUCGGGGCCCAGUGUCCCUAGAACCAAGCAGGGUGACCACUAGGUGCUCUGGGGGGUGCGGGAGUUCAGGCGGGGGAAGAAAUCGCUGUGGCUACCCAGUUGCAGCUGGGUUUCUCAGAAACAAAAGCUUUGGGGGGACGCGGUUCACACGAUUGUUUGCAAUGAGGUUUUGGGAUGUCUGUGGCAUCCAGUUAUUCAUCCGGGCUCCACCCUCGGAUAAUUGAGAGUUGGCUUUUGCUGGAUUUACACCCUCUUUCCUCCCCCUGACCCCCCUCCACUCAGGCUUCUCAUGGACUCUGGGAGCUCACCUGGUCUGACCCCUUGGUUUCAUAGACAAGGCCGGGAGAGGGGAGGAGCCUGACCCAAGGACCACUGGAAGUUGGUGGUGGAGCCAAGACUUGAACCCAGGGCAGGAGACUCCCAGGCCAGGGGCUUUCCCCGGUCACCCUCCAGGCUGUGACUAGGCUCUAGCCAAUCCCCAGAAGCCACUGACCCCAAAAGCAGCGGUGCCUGGAAGUGGGGUGACUCACUGUCUGGCUUCCCAGGGCACCCCCUCCCCAUUGGUGAGGGAGGGACUGGCAGGUGUCCCUGUGUAGAGAGCCAGGAGCAAGGAGAGAACUCCCCAGGGGGCCUGGGCCAGGGUCACUCAGGGGCCGAAGAGCCCCAGCUGGAGGGAUUUAACACCAAAUGUCAAAGGUCACAGACAGGGAAGGGCGGGCAGGCACAGGGGGUCAGCACUAAUGGCAGCUCCGGAAAGGAGGGGGAGGAGGAAAGGCUAAGAAAAACAGGGUUGCUUCCAAGGGGUCCGCACACCCCCCAAAACACCAUCCCAAGUCCCUGGCACUGUCUCCUGCUUGGCUGGCUGCAGACAGGGCCAAGUUGAGCUGGAGGUGGGUGGUAAAAUGGGCCAGGCUGGAGCUUGGCAAAGGGUGUCCCGGGAGGGGCCUCCCAGGUGCAGCCCCUCCCCCUGUGCAGGCCAGGCCAGCUAGGAGGCCCAGCCUGGGCUCUGGGGAGAAGGAGAAGCAGAGGGGGAGGUCCGAGGUCACCAGGGAUGGGUGUGUGGGCUGGGCCUGGACAGCUGUGGCACUGUGGCACCAGAAUGGGGCUUAGGGAGGGGUGACCCAAGGGGCCGGUUUCCCCUCCCCUGAGCCCGGGGGCUGGAAGGCCCUCCG